GAUGAACGCUGGCGGCGUGCCUAAUACAUGCAAGUCGAGCGAACGGACGAGAAGCUUGCUUCUCUGAUGUUAGCGGCGGACGGGUGAGUAACACGUGGAUAACCUACCUAUAAGACUGGGAUAACUUCGGGAAACCGUAUCUAAUACCGGAUAAUAUUUUGAACCGCAUGGUUCAAAAGUGAAAGACGGUCUUGCUGUCACUUAUAGAUGGAUCCGCGCUGCAUUAGCUAGUUGGUAAGGUAACGGCUUACCAAGGCAACGAUGCAUAGCCGACCUGAGAGGGUGAUCGGCCACACUGGAACUGAGACACGGUCCAGACUCCUACGGGAGGCAGCAGUAGGGAAUAUUCCGCAAUGGGCGAAAGCCUGACGGAGCAACGCCGCGUGAGUGAUGAAGGUCUUCGGAUCGUAAAACUCUGUUAUUAGGGAAGAACAUAUGUGUAAGUAACUGUGCACAUCUUGACGGUACCUAAUCAGAAAGCAACGGCUAACUACGUG
rnacentral:rRNA from 1 species